CUACCUGGACUAAACAUUUGCUUCGCCCCGUCUGCCUGAAUCGAACGUGCACUUGGCAGUCUUCCCUUGUCCAUACCCGUUUCCUGGGGAUCGCUACGGACCUUAAAAUACCAGCAACAGCCCCUUCGCCCCAAAUUUGACUUGUAAAGAAUUAAUUAUAUUGACUGAGAGAGAAGCCCAGAAGAGGAAGAAGAGGAAAGAAAAGGAGUCAGGGAUGGCUCUUACACAGGGACCUUUGACAUUCAGGGAUGUAGCCAUAGAAUUCUCUCAGGAGGAGUGGAAAUCCCUGGACCCUGUGCAGAAAGCUUUGUACUGGGAUGUGAUGUUGGAGAACUACAGGAACCUGGUCUUCCUGGGUUUGAUGUGUGAAUAAUUACAUUGACUGAGAAAGAAACCCAGAAGAGGAAGAAGAGGAAGGAAAAGGAGUCAGUGAUGGCUACUCAGGUAGAGUGAUACUUUACUCAAGUGAAGUGAUAU
rnacentral:lncRNA from 1 species